rnacentral:rRNA from 1 species
GGAGGGCGCAAGCGUUGUUCGGAAUCAUUGGGCGUAAAGCGCGUGUAGGCGGUCUGGUCAGUCGGAUGUGAAAGCCCGGGGCCCAACCCCGGAAUUGCAUUCGAAACUGCCAGGCUAGAGUCCCGGAGGGGAGAGCGGGAUUCCCGGUGUAGAGGUGAAAUUCGUAGAUAUCGGGAGGAACACCAGUGGCGAAGGCGGCUCUCUGGACGGUGACUGACGCUCAGACGCGAAAGCGUGGGGAGCAAACAGGGAUUAGAUACCCUGGUAGUCCACGCCGUAAACGUUGGGUGCUAGGCGUCGGAGGUAUUGACCCCCCUCGAUGCCCGAAGUUAACGCAUUAAGCACCCCGCCUGGGGAGUACGGUCGCAAGGCUA